rnacentral:rRNA from 1 species
UAGGGAAUCUUCGGCAAUGGGGGGAACCCUGACCGAGCAACGCCGCGUGAGUGAAGAAGGUUUUCGGAUCGUAAAGCUCUGUUGUUAAGGAAGAACGAGUGUGAGAAUGGAAAGUUCAUGCUGUGACGGUACUUAACCAGAAAGGGACGGCUAACUACGUGCCAGCAGCCGCGGUAAUACGUAGGUCCCGAGCGUUGUCCGGAUUUAUUGGGCGUAAAGCGAGCGCAGGCGGUUAGAAAAGUCUGAAGUGAAAGGCAGUGGCUCAACCAUUGUAGGCUUUGGAAACUGUUUAACUUGAGGGCAGAAGGGGAGAGUGGAAUUCCAUGUGUAGCAGUGAAAUGCGUAGAUAUAUGGAGGAACACCGGUGGCGAAGGCGACUCUCUGGUCUGUAACUGACGCUGAGGCUCGAAAGCGUGGGUAGCAAACAGG